UACGGGGGGGCAAGCGUUGUUCGGAAUUACUGGGCGUAAAGGGCUCGUAGGUGGCCAACUAAGUCAGACGUGAAAUCCCUCGGCUUAACCGGGGAACUGCAUCUGAUACUGGAUGGCUUGAGAUUGGGAGAGGGAUGCGGAAUUCCAGGUGUAGCGGUGAAAUGCGUAGAUAUCAGGAGGAACACCAGUGGCGAAGGCGCCACUCUGGGCCGUAACUGACGCUGAGGAGCGAAAGCGUGGGUAGCAAACAGG
rnacentral:rRNA from 1 species